rnacentral:rRNA from 1 species
UACAGAGACUGCAAGCGUUAUUCGGAUUCACUGGGCGUAAAGGGUGCGCAGGCGGCCGAGUGUGUGAGGCGUGAAAGCCCGGGGCUUAACCCCGGAAUUGCACCUCAAACUACACGGCUAGAGCAUUGGAGAGGGUAGCAGAAUUCACGGUGUAGCAGUGAAAUGCGUAGAUAUCGUGAGGAAUACCAGAGGCGAAGGCGGCUACCUGGACAAUUGCUGACGCUCAGGCACGAAAGCGUGGGGAGCGAACAGG